rnacentral:rRNA from 1 species
AGUGAACGCUGGCGGCGUGCUUAACACAUGCAAGUCGAACGAGAACGGAAUAUAGCUUGCUAUAUUUGUCAGCUAAGAGGCGCACGGGUGAGUAAUAUAUAGAUAACCUGCCCUUAAGAAAGGAAUAACAGUUGGAAACGACUGCUAAUGCCCUAUAUGCCUUUAAUACAUAAGUAUGCCAGGGAAACGCUUUAGUGCUUAAGGAUGGGCCUGUAUGGUAUCAGCUUGUUGGUGAGGUAAUGGCUCACCAAGGCUAUGACGCCUAACUGGUUUGAGAGGAUGAUCAGUCACACUGGAACUGAGACACGGUCCAGACUCCUACGGGAGGCAGCAGUGGGGAAUAUUGCACAAUGGACGAAAGUCUGAUGCAGCAACGCCGCGUGGAGGAUGACACAUUUCGGUGCGUAAACUCCUUUUAUAUAGGGAGAUAAUGACGGUACUAUAUGAACAAGCACCGGCUAACUCCGUGCCAGCAGCCGCCGUAACAC